UUAAUAAGAAAAAACUCUUCAUUGAUUUCAGAAAUCUAACAAUUAUCCAUAGAGAAAUAGUCCUGUCUCCCUUUGUCUUUCUCUUUCUGUCUACAGUUUCAAGUAUCAGAUUUUUCUUUUAAUGGUGUUACUGAAAUCCAUACUCAGCCAUUCCACGACGAAUUCUGAUUUCUUUUGCUUUUCUAUGCUGCGUUCUUCAAAUACUGAAUAAUAAUAAUUUUUACUAAGAAUAACGCAUCGCGUUUGCAUAUCAGCAUAGUUUCAGUAUGGCUUCCCCAUAUACUCAUCUAAAGCUGUGCGAUUUAAGCUGGGUCAUCCCAGGUGUCCACUGCAAUUGAAGAAUGAUGCCACUGUCAAUGCUGAUUCCAGCCAGGGUUCAUUGGAUGGCUACAAUAUUCGGACUUGUACUCCACUAGAAUAUCCUAUGACUCAGGAAAACUGCUUGCAAUUUCAGGUCUCGAGUGACUUCAUAAAUUUGAACAACUUGCAGGAAAACUGCUUGCAAAAGUUCAGGUUGCCAGUAUCGGAGGGAUUCUGCUAGUUGAGCUACUGGGUAGAGUGCAGAGACAAGGAUGGACUCUACUAUAUAUGCAUCUCCCAUGUUCAGGCUGUGGAACGACCCCUUUCACGUCCAUUUGAUGUAGAAAUACUUGAUCCAACAGGAAAAUGUGCCUUAGAUUAUUGCCCUCAAAGAGAAUGCAGCAUAUUGUCCAGCAGAGAUGGCUGGAAUAUCUCGCAUGCACUCAUUUACUGCAAGAUUGAUGGAGAAGGGCAUAAGGAGAUGGGAUACGAUUCUGAACGCACGGCUAGGACUGAACCACUUUGUCAAAUGAUUAGGAUUUGGUGCAUGACUCAGAUGAAGAGCUCAUGGCAUAGCCUUUUAAUCACGGUCAUCUUCCUCCUUUAACCAUUCUACUGAAGUAAGAUGAAUGAUCAAGUUUCAUUUUGUGCUGCUGGUUUUUAGAACCCACUGUCACCGAUGUAGUAAAGAAUGAUUCUGUUUUUUCACUAGUUUGAUCAUUUGGUAACUAACAGUGGAUACAGAUAUUAUAUCUGGUUACUCUUGUAACUAUUUUCUAUAGUUUCCCCCAGCUUUAGAAAGUUACCGAUAUAGCAGAUUCUCAAAAUAAGAUGAGACCUUUCUAAAGCCAGCCAGAAUGGAUAGCAUAUUACAACUCGAUACAGGGCUUUGAUUGCUCAAGCUGAUGCAAGACUGAUAUUUAUAGUUCAUCUAUACGAGCAUUACUGGUGGAGCUUCAUUGAACUAUCUUUCCAAGAACCGUUGGGCACAUCACCAGAUUGGUCUUCAAACAGGAUAUCAAGUUUAUAUUAGCUGGAAAUUUGUAGAAGAUGUGGACAUAAGAUUCCAGAAGUAAACUUAAAAUAAGAAGGAAAUUAAGUGCGAGUUUCCUAAUGUAAAACAAUGUCAGUCUUAGAUUGACGACCUCGGAGAAAGGGGAAGCAAACUGCAUUGAUCUCAGACAGGGAUAAACGAAUAGCAUAAUGCAUACAUUUUACAGAGAGAUUAAGUUGGUCGUAAAUUUCCUCAAUAGCAAUCGAAAGUACAACUCCACGCCAUUGAAGCAUGAAAACGCACGAGCAAAGUGACAAAAAAUUCCAUAUUGCAGAACUCAUUAAAAUAUGAUAUUAGUUGUUCCAGUUUUCGUCCGAUAGAUUACACUUGCAAGACUUCACAGAAAGCCCUCAAAGAAGAAAGAAAAGGGAGGAUGUGAAAAGCAACAAAAACAGAGAGAAGCUAAAAAUACCUACAGAAAUACAAGUGCCUGAUGUCACCACAAAUUCGACAAUUAGAAAAGCAAGGGUGGGGUAAAGCA